ensembl:misc_RNA Metazoa_SRP Metazoan signal recognition particle RNA
GCCGGGCAUGGUGGUGCAUACCUGUAAUCCCAGCUACUUGGGAGGCUGAGGCAGGAGAAUCACUUGAACCCAGGAGGCAGAGGUUGCAGUGAGCUGAGAUCAUGCCACUGCACUCCAUCCUGGGCAACAGAGUGAGACUCCGUUUCCA